rnacentral:rRNA from 1 species
UGCCAGCCGCCGCGGUAAUACGAAUGGUGCGAGCGUUGUUCGGAAUCACUGGGCAUAAAGCGCACGUAGGCGGUGGUGUAAGUCAGCUGUGAAAUCCCUCGGCUCAACCGAGGAACUGCAGCUGAAACUGCGCCGCUAGAGGGCGGGAGGGGAGAACGGAAUUCCGGGUGGAGCGGUGAAAUGCGUAGAUAUCAGGAGGAACGCCGGAGGCGAAAGCGGUUCUCUGGCCCGCAACUGACGCUGAGGUGCGAAAGCGAGGGGAGCAAACGGGAUUAGAUA